rnacentral:rRNA from 1 species
ACACAUGCAAGUCGAACGGUAACAGGCCUUCGGGCGCUGACGAGUGGCGGACGGGUGAGUAAUGCGUGGGAAUCUGCCUUAUGGCUGGGGACAACCAGUGGAAACGCUGGCUAAUACCGAAUACCGUCUACGGACGAAAGCGGGGGAUCUUCGGACCUCGCACCAUAAGAUGAGCCCACGUCUGAUUAGCUAGUUGGUGAGGUAAUUGCUCACCAAGGCGACGAUCAGUAGCCGGCCUGAGAGGGUGGACGGCCACACUGGGACUGAGACACGGCCCAGACUCCUACGGGAGGCAGCAGUGGGGAAUAUUGGACAAUGGGCGCAAGCCUGAUCCAGCAAUGCCGCGUGUGUGAAGAAGGCCUUCGGGUUGUAAAGCACUUUUGUUAGGGAGGAAAGUCUGGUAGCUAAUAACUGCUAGAUCUGACGUUACCUAAAGAAUCAGCACCGGCUAACU